UUUCCGUAGGUGAACCUGCGGAAGGAUCAUUACAGAGUUCAUGCCCUCACGGGUAGAUCUCCCACCCUUGAAUAUUUAUACCUUAGUUGCUUUGGCAGGCCGUGGAAACACCAUGGGCUCCGGCUUAUGCGUGCCUGCCAGAGGAAACAAACUCUGUUUUUAGUGAUGUCUGAGUACUAUAUAAUAGUUAAAACUUACAACAACGGAUCUCUUGGUUCUG
rnacentral:misc_RNA from 1 species